GUCCUUUUGAAAGCCUUACUAUUUUAACAAGGGGCCCUGCAUUUUUAUAUUGCACAGGGCCCUGCAAUUAUGCAGCCAUUCCUGCUUUUGAUCUCACUUACCCCACAGCCAUAAUGGAAGAGCGCCUGGAAGGAGUCCUUAUCCUGAUUCCCAGAUGGUGAAACUGAGUGCCAGGAGGGGCAGUGCUGAAGCCGAGACCAGACAGGAUCCCUCGGGUGGAAUCCAGGGCUGCUGUUUCUCUUGGGGGCUCCUCCUCAGUGAAUGGAUGGGUGGUAAUCUCCUUUCCUACCUGUCCUAGCGGUAGCCUCUGUUCCUUCUCUUGUUUUAUCUCAUUUUAUUUUUUUAAAAAAUACCAAAACCAUUCUCUCACCUGCCAGAGAGGAGCUCAUAGGAGUUGGGCUUCCUCAGAGAGUGUUCCUCCCUCGUCCCCUGUCCUGUCCAGGCACCUGCGAGCAGGAUGGUGUGUCCCCGGCUAAAUCCACAGGCGCUCCACUCUGUCCCAGAGAGCCCACAGCCAAAAACUUCGUCCUGUCCUGGAAAAGCUUCACUGCCUUCCAACAGAGCCUUCCUGCAUGCCGAGGUUGAAGAGGUGUCCGCUGAGUGCUCUGUCUUCUGGGAAUUUUGGCUGUUUCCUGCAACCUAUCAUCAGAUGCCACACUUAUGAGACCCUCAUCCUUCUGCUCACUCUCUUCCAUUGUUUCACUCAUUAAAAAUAUAUAUUUUAAGCAAUUCCUAAAUCUUCUGCAGCCUCACCCACACUGUCUG
rnacentral:lncRNA from 1 species